rnacentral:misc_RNA from 1 species
GAUGAAGAACGUAGCGAAUUGCGAUAAGUAAUGUGAAUUGCAGAAUUCAGUGAAUCAUCGAAUCUUUGAACGCACAUUGCGCCCGCCAGUAUUCUGGCGGGCAUGCCUGUUCGAGCGUCAUUUCAACCAUCAAGCCCCAGGCUUGUGUUGGGGACCUGCGGCUGCCGCAGGCCCUGAAAACCAGUGGCGGGCUCGCUGUCACACCGGGCGUAGUAGAUUUUAUCUCGCUCAGGGCGUGCUGCGGGUUCCGGCCGUUAAAAAGCCUUUUUUACCCAAGGUUGACCUCGGAUCAGGUAGGAAGACCCGCUGAACUUAAGCAUAUCAAUAAGCGGAGGA